GACGAACGCUGGCGGCGUGCCUAAUACAUGCAAGUAGAACGCACAGUUUAUACCGUAGCUUGCUACACCAUAGACUGUGAGUUGCGAACGGGUGAGUAACGCGUAGGUAACCUGCCUGGUAGCGGGGGAUAACUAUUGGAAACGAUAGCUAAUACCGCAUAAUAUUGAUUAUUGCAUGAUAAUUAAUUGAAAGGUGCAAUUGCACCACUACCAGAUGGACCUGCGUUGUAUUAGCUAGUAGGUGAGGUAACGGCUCACCUAGGCGACGAUACAUAGCCGACCUGAGAGGGUGAUCGGCCACACUGGGACUGAGACACGGCCCAGACUCCUACGGGAGGCAGCAGUAGGGAAUCUUCGGCAAUGGACGAAAGUCUGACCGAGCAACGCCGCGUGAGUGAAGAAGGUUUUCGGAUCGUAAAGCUCUGUUGUAAGAGAAGAACGGGUGUGAGAGUGGAAAGUUCACACUGUGACGGUAUCUGACCAGAAAGGGACGGCUAACUACGUG
rnacentral:rRNA from 1 species